rnacentral:lncRNA from 1 species
CUUGCAUCCGGUAAUGUAAUUGGCACAAUUAUUAGCUUUUCUGUGAUUUUAUCCUUGACCGGUAAAAUUCAGUCCCGCGAGGGUCUAAUUUGAAUUUCUCUCCUUUGUUUUCUUAGGCCAGUUCCGCAGGUCACCCGAAUCAAACAUCUGUACAGGGCCUGCCUUCAUCCAGCACAGCAGUGCACACACCACUGCAGUGCCUCCAGCCUGGACACAGUUACCCUGCUGCUCCAUAUGCUGGCCAGCACAGUGCUGCAACACCAGCUCCAGCUAGUCUAUGUUCAGUCAACGUCCAGCAUACAGUCAGUGCUGCUGGCUACACACCUCCAAGUGUGCAACAGACCCAAGCUGCAGCAAAUAUUUUAGCAUCAGCUGUGCCACAACUUGUUGCGCAGAGCUACCAAACACCAUGCCACCAACAGCAACAGGCAACAGCAGCAAGCUCUUUGACUUUUCCUUUGAAAGUCCAACAAACUUGUCAGAACUGUGUGUCUCAACAACAGGCUCACUCUGCAUCAGGAUACCCUACUCCAGUUCAGCAACAGACUGCUGCAGCAGCGACCGCUCUGCCAGCACAGCAGCCAGCACAAAGCUACCCUCUUGCAUCUUUAGCCCCAACUAUGGCAGCCAUUGCCCAGUGUCCUGAUACUACACAAGCUCCCAGCGCACUGCAACACGUCAAACUGCCAAGUCAGCAGCCUGGUCAGAGCUCCUCGACACCAGCACUUUACAGCCAACAGAUAAACAUUCAGCAAGAGCACCAACUAAAUACUCAGUCCAAUAUACAACUAACACAACAUGCUGAGCAGGCUCAUAUUCAGCCUCAACUCCAGCAUAGCCAAGAAACUCUGCAUACCAUACACCAACAAAUGGCACAACAGCCUACCCAGCUUUCUCAAAGUAUUCAGUCUCCUGGUCAGCAACAAGUACACACCCUAACUCUACAGAAGCACAGUCAGAAAGCCAUGCAGACUGCAGUUCCACAACAGAGCCAGGAUGUAUCCCAGUCUACAGUCCAACAGGCUCAUAUUCCAGCUUCUCAACUUCAUCCAACAGCACUCCCAGUUGUGCAGGUUGCAGCCACACACCAGAGUUACCCUGCUGCUGGUCUACCUGAUGCUGCCUCUCAACACUAUGCACAUUCUGCCCUCAAUGCACUGCAGCAACAGACGGCAUCAGCUCAGAACCACUACCUGUCUGCACAGUCUACUGCUGCUCCCCAGACUUACGGAGGACAACAGAAUAUUCUUGCUGGUCAUAGCAUAUCACAGCUUGUACAAGAUGGACAGAGCCAUGGGCAAAAUCUCAGCCAGUCAGCUUCAAGUGCACCAGCCCAGGCACUGCCUCCUCAACAGUCAAUGGCUCAGGCUACUGUCCAGCAACAACUCCAACCUCUGCAGAUUUCAAACUCUCUACCACCAACACAUCCAUCCCAGCAGGUUCAGCAGGCCCAGAUCAGCAAUCCUGAGCUUGUCCCCUCUGCUCAGCCAGUCCAGCCCGCUCAGCUCACCCACCCUGCAGUCUUCUCCUCACCUUUGCUGAAUGGGUCAGACCCGUGCACAGUCACUACUGCAGCCCAGCUGGACAACAAUAAUCCAUGCCAGCUGGCCCUGCAGGCCCAGAGUCAGGUUCAGAGCCAGAUUCCUGUGCUUCAGCCCUCUGACUUUCAGAGAGCGUCAUCUGGGUCUGCUAGUUCCAGUCUGACUCAGCAGAAACAGCUCAGUAGUCUCACUGGAGCUGUAGGUCAGGGUCCAACAGAGACCAACGCUGAGGAUCAAGCUGCAGAGAGACACACUGAAGGACAUAGCUAUGACAGGUACUAGCUUCUUUCCCCUCAACCAUGUUUGCAGGUGAUCUCAGCCAGCUCUCAGGUUCUG